rnacentral:rRNA from 1 species
GAAUUUUGCGCAAUGGGCGAAAGCCUGACGCAGCAACGCCGCGUGGAGGAUGAAGGUCUUCGGAUCGUAAACUCCUGUCCUCGGGGAAAAAGGAAGUGAUGGUACCCGGGGAGGAAGCCCCGGCUAACUCCGUGCCAGCAGCCGCGGUAAUACGGGGGGGGCAAGCGUUGUUCGGAAUUACUGGGCGUAAAGGGCGCGUAGGCGGCCUGGGAAGUUCUGGGUGAAAGCCCCCGGCUCAACCGGGGAAGUGCCUGGGAAACCACUGGGCUGGAGUGCUGGAGAGGGAAGCGGAAUUCCUGGUGUAGCGGUGAAAUGCGUAGAGAUCAGGAGGAACACCGGUGGCGAAGGCGGCUUCCUGGACAGACACUGACGCUGAGGCGCGAAAGCCAGGGGAGCAAA